AUUGAACGCUGGCGGCAUGCCUUACACAUGCAAGUCGAACGGCAGCAUAGGAGCUUGCUCCUGAUGGCGAGUGGCGAACGGGUGAGUAAUAUAUCGGAACGUGCCCUAGAGUGGGGGAUAACUAGUCGAAAGACUAGCUAAUACCGCAUACGAUCUACGGAUGAAAGUGGGGGAUCGCAAGACCUCAUGCUCCUGGAGCGGCCGAUAUCUGAUUAGCUAGUUGGUGGGGUAAAAGCUCACCAAGGCGACGAUCAGUAGCUGGUCUGAGAGGACGACCAGCCACACUGGGACUGAGACACGGCCCAGACUCCUACGGGAGGCAGCAGUGGGGAAUUUUGGACAAUGGGGGCAACCCUGAUCCAGCAAUGCCGCGUGAGUGAAGAAGGCCUUCGGGUUGUAAAGCUCUUUUGUCAGGGAAGAAACGGUUCUGGAUAAUACCUGGAGCUAAUGACGGUACCUGAAGAAUAAGCACCGGCUAACUACGUGCCAGCAGCCGCCGCAG
rnacentral:rRNA from 1 species